rnacentral:tRNA from 1 species
ACCUGGCUGGCUCAGUCAGCAAAGCAUAUGGCUCUUAAUCUUGGGGUUGUGAGUUCGAGCCCCACGCUGGGUG